rnacentral:rRNA from 1 species
UACGUAGGGUGCGAGCGUUGUCCGGAAUUAUUGGGCGUAAAGAGCUUGUAGGUGGUUUGUCGCGUCUGCUGUGAAAAUCCGAGGCUCAACCUCGGACUUGCAGUGGGUACGGGCAGACUAGAGUGUGGUAGGGGAGACUGGAAUUCCUGGUGUAGCGGUGAAAUGCGCAGAUAUCAGGAGGAACACCGGUGGCGAAAGCGGCUCACUGGGUCUCAACUGACGCUGAUGCACGAAAGCUAGGGUAGCGAACGGG